UACGUAGGGUCCAAGCGUUAAUCGGAAUUACUGGGCGUAAAGCGUGCGCAGGCGGUUCUGAAAGUCAGCUGUGAAAGCCCCGGGCUUAACCUGGGAAUUGCGGUUGAAACUACAGGGCUAGAAUCUGGCAGAGGGGGGUGGAAUUCCACGUGUAGCGGUGAAAUGCGUAGAGAUGUGGAGGAACACCGAUGGCGAAGGCAGCCCCCUGGGCUGAGAUUGACGCUCAGGCACGAAAGCGUGGGGAGCAAACGGG
rnacentral:rRNA from 1 species